CCUACGGGUGGCUGCAGUGAGGAAUAUUGGUCAAUGGCCGGAAGGCUGAACCAGCCAAGUCGCGUGAGGGAAUAAGGCCCUAUGGGCCGUAAACCUCUUUUGUCAGGGAGCAAAGGCGUCCACGUGUGGACGAGAGCAGAGUACCUGCCGACAAAGCAUCGGCAAACUCCGUGCCAGCAGCCGCGGUAAUACGGAGGAUGCGAGCGUUAUCCGGAUUUAUUGGGUUUAAAGGGUGCGUAGGCGGAGUGUCAAGUCAGCGGUAAAAUUUCGGGGCUCAACCCCGGCGUGCCGUUGAAACUGACGACCUUGAGUGAGUGAGAAGUAAGCGGAAUGCGUGGUGUAGCGGUGAAAUGCAUAGAUAUCACGCAGAACGCCGAUUGCGAAGGCAGCUCACCGGAGUGUAACUGACGCUGAGGCACGAAAGUGUGGGUAUCGAACAGGAUUAGAUACCCUAGUAGUC
rnacentral:rRNA from 1 species